GAGCGGGCCCUUCGGGGUCAGCGGCAGACGGGUGAGUAACGCGUGGCAACGUACCAUUUGCUACGGAAUAACUCAGGGAAACUUGUGCUAAUACCGUAUGAGCCCCCCUUUAAAAUUUCAUGAAUCAUAGAAUGCCCUGGCAUUUUAUGGGGGGGAAAGAUUUAUCGGCAAAUGAUCGGCCCGCGUUGGAUUAUCUAGUUGGAGGGGUAAAGGCCUACCAGGGCGACGAUCCAUAGCUGGACUGAGAGGAUGAUCAGCCACACUGGGACUGAGACACGGCCCACACUCCUACGGGAGGCAUCAGUGGGGAAUAUUGGACGAUGGGCGCAAGCCUGAUCCAGCCAUGCCGCGUGAGUGAUGAAGGCCCUAGGGUUGAAAAGCUCUUUCACCGGUGAAGAUAAUGACGGUAACCGGAGAAGAAGCCCCGGCUAACUUCAUGCCAUCAGCCGCGGUAAUACGAAGGGGGCUAGCGUUGUUCGGAUUUACUGGGCGUAAAGCGCACGUAGGCGGGCUAAUAAGUCAGGGGUGAAAUCCCGGGGCUCAACCCCGGAACUGCCUUUGAUACUGUUAGUCUUGAGUAUGGUAGAGGUGAGUGGAAUUCCGAGUGUACAGGUGAAAUUCGUAUAUAUGCGGAGGAACACCAAUGGCGAAGGCGGCUCACUGGACCAUUACUGACGCUGAGGUGCGAAAGCGUGGAGAGCAGACAGGAUUAGAUACCCUGGUACUCCACGCCGUAAACGAUGAAUGUUAGCCGUUGGGGAGUUUACUCUUCUGUGGCGCAGCUAACGCAUUAGACAUUCCGCCUGGGGAGUACGGUCGCGAGAUUAGUACUCAAAGGAAUUGACGGGCGCCCACACUAGCGGUGGAGCAUGUGGUUUAAUUCGAAGCAACGCGCAGAAUCUUACCAGCCCUUGACAUCCCGAUCGCGGUUAGUGGAGACACUAUCCUUCA
rnacentral:rRNA from 1 species